AUGUAUAUUGAUUCUAUUAAUCCUUUCAUUCUUCAAUGUUUUCUAAAUUACAUAUUUAGAGGUCCUGACAUGCAGUCUUUUUGGUGUUACAUGUCUCAGUCGACUGGGUGUAUAGCACAUGUGUUUGGAGCUUGGGAGUUUGGGGCCAGAAAACAAUGUCAAGUCAGGGACCUGGAGCACAAAUGGAUUUGUUGCACUUCCCAGAUUUCCUCAUGGCAGUGAUUCUUCUUCAGCCCUUUGACUUCAGAAGGAUGGCAUAGGAACCUCAAAAACAGUUUUCCGGUUUCCUGGUAGCUACAUCUCCAUGUAGCUUUCAUAGUUUCUAAAGCAGUGUUUGGUCUGCAUCUGUAGACUAGACUUGCCUGUUGACGAUACGACAUGUGCAGAUAGAAUUUAAAAAGAAAUGCACGCAACGGAAAGUGGUUUGGAGUACUCUCCUCACCCCACGCCGAUGAAAAAGACCCACACGAUUGAAAAAGUUAUGUUUUAUACAGUUCAUUCUUAGGAGGACAAAAUUACAUUCCAUGCAUCCACGCAGGUAAGUAAAAAUAUUAUUUUCUCCAUUUUAUAAUCAACUCACAAACUCUCAGGGAAAUUGCUGCUUCCUGUGACUACAGUUCUCAAGCCCAAAAUAGGAUCCACAUCUCCUGACUCACUUCUUUUCUCUAGAACACGUCACCUAAAUUAGAGUUCCUUUUUGGUAUCUAAAUACAUGUUUUCCUUUUAAUAGUACUGCCAGACUUGACUGAGGCCUGACUGUACCUGGACUACGCUAAGUACUUCACACAUGUUCUCUCAAGUAGUUUUCUCCUUCCUCCCCUUUCCUAGAAGGUGAGGACUAUUGUCCCCAUUUUACUGAUACAGGAACAGAUAGAAAGAGCUCAACAUGCACAGGAUCCUGCAGCCAGGAAGGACGAAGAAGGAUCUGGGAUUUGGGUCUUGUCAAAUCCCAAAACCUUCGCUCUUAACCACUACCUGCCCACAGCAAAAGUGGCAUUGUUAUUUAGGGGAAUAAGUCACACAACGAACAACAACUCACUUUUUCGUGGGCUUUAGAUUAGAGCCAGCUUCAUCCUGCUAAGAUGUUCAGCUAUAGUCCUGUAAAGUGACUGGCUAUAUUUAGAAGAAUAAUCUCAUGAUCUCUAAUGAUGUUUCCCUGAUUUUGCUUAUUAAACACAACCAUACGUCUAUACACUUAGGACAGGAUUCUUAAAAUCAAAGACUCAUCUGAAAAAAGAGAAAAC
rnacentral:lncRNA from 1 species